rnacentral:lncRNA from 1 species
UAAGCGAAGCUAACAAGUCUAAAAUAUCAAAGGAGAAUAAGAAUAAAGUUUAUUAUUAAACAUACAAGCUAUGGCUAAUCAACAUACUUUCUUAUAUUUCUUGAUAAUAUGUUGAAUUUACUUUCGAGCAUGUUUUGAAGAGGUAGUUAGUCAAUCUUUAUGUCCCUUUUGAAGAUAUGAUGAAAUAGUUACAUCUCUAUUAUGGAAUAACAUGAAGUGGUUUAAAAAAUGAAUGAUGUAUGGUCUGGCACGGUGGCUCACACCUGUAAUCCCAGCACUUUGGGAGGCCGAGGCAGGUGGAUUAUCUGAUGUCAGGAGUUCAAGACCAGCCUGGCCAAUGUGGUGAAACCCCAUCUGUACUAAAAAUACAAAAAUUAGCCAGGCGUUGUGGCGGGUGCCUGUAAUCCCAGCUACUUGGGAGGCUGAGGCAAGAGAAUUGCCUGAACCUUGGAGGCAGAGGUUGCAGUGAGCCAAGACUGCACCAUUGUACUCCAGCCUGGACACCAUGAGCAAAACUUCGUCUCAAAAAAAAAAAAAAAUAAAAGAUGAGUGAUGUAUUUCUAAUUCUAGUGAGAAGGAAAGAGUAUCAGUGCAUAUUGUCAAGUGAAGAAAGCAAGCUCCAGAACAAAGCCUAUGUGAACACACAGUGUUCAUCCCCUCAGGAGGACACAGCUUUUGAGGUACCAUCUUGGAAGCAGAGACCAGCCCUCAC